AGAGAAUUUCUUUAACCUACAAGACAAAAUUUAGCCUUAAUUGGUCUUGAAAGCAAUAAGAAAUGCUGUUGAAUUGUAUGAAAUUGAUGAUGGCUGCCCCUGCCCUCGAUAAAGCCUACAUGGCUGCUCCCGAUUGGCUGGCCAGCCGUGUGCACCGGUUUACCAAUAGUUGAGAAGGAUGAGAUUUCCAUCAUUGUCCUACAAAUAUUCCCGAGCAACUUAAAACGCUCCGUUUUAUCCCCUCAAGUAGUUAAUUAUUGAAGAUUUCAAGUAAUAAGUUUGAUUAGCUGUUAAAUUUUAAUUAUUUAUUGCUUUUAUAAAUGGAUUAUCAACUUAUAUAUUAAUUAAAAUUUUGUUUAUUUUGUCCAACUCACUUUUCUCCUUGAAUUUUUAUUUACAUAAAGUCUUUUUUUUAUAAAUAAAAUCUAUUAUUAUUUUAUAGAAAUUAAAAUUAAACUUUUAUAUUACAAAAAUAGCCAUUGAUUUAAUUAAAUAAAUUUUUUUUUCUAUAAUAUAAUACAUUAGAUAGACUGAAAUUUAAAAAGAUUUUAUUAAUACUUAUUAAGUGAAUUAGUUUAAUAAAUUAAAAAUUAAGAAAACAAAAAACUACACUUACACCUAUAUAAAUAAUAAAAAAUAAAACUUGAUAUAAAAAUUUAUUAUAAUUUUUAUUAAUUAUGCAUAGUCUCUUAUACAAAUUUACUAUAAUGUUGAAUUAAGUGAAUGAUACAUCUAUAAACUAUAUAUUAUAAAGUUAUAAAUAAAGUAUAGAAUAUAAAUUAUUUUUAUUUUAAAUGUAAUAUAUUAUAAUUUUCAACCAAUUAAAUACAGUUAAAAUUUUAUUAAUUUAUUUUUAAUAAGUUUUAAUACAAAUCAAUCUGAAAGGAAAUAAAAGGUUUUUUAAUUAUAUUUUAGAUUUUCAGCUUUUCCAUGGUGAAAAAAACGUUUUAUUUAUUUUUUUCAUUUUUAAUCAAUUUUAUGCAAAUCAAUUUAAAAGAAAUAAAUGUUUUUUUUUUACUUUAUUUCUAAGAUAAUAUUUAAUGUACAUCACAUAUUAAAAUCAUUAUUUUAGUUUUUCAGCUUUAUAAAGUGAAAGCAACUUAUUUUUUUUAAUUUUAAUUAAAUUAUGCUAAAAUAAAACUUAAUUAAAAGAAUUUAAGUAAAAUAAUUAAAAAGUUUUAAACUUAUAUAAACUUUAUAAAUAAUUAAAUAACAACAAAUUGAAAUACGUUAAUUUAAUAGUUGAUUAGAUUUAGUUUUUAUUAUAAUAAUACAAGUAUUUUAGAUUUUUUUUAAUUUUCUUCUCAGAUAUGAAUUAUAGACUAUAAAAAAAUUUAAAAUUCAAAAAUAAAAAAUAAAAAUAUAAUAAAAAAAUAAAUUUCAUUAUUAAUUUUUUAGAAUAUUAUCAAACUUUUUGAAAAAAAAAAUAAAUUUGCAAUUAUUAGUUAAUUUUUAAAAUAUAUUAAUUAUUUUUUUUUAUUUUUUUUGAAUCGAAAAUUGAAGGUUGAAGGAGUAGAACUGAAAUCUCUCGGCUUUAUUCUAAUGCACUUUAACAUCAGAUUAAACAUGUGAGUGCAAUUAUAUUUUUUUAAAUAGAAGUUACGUUUUUAAUAAAUUUUAUACUCUUUUAAUUAUUUUUAUAAAAUUUUGUAUUGUAUUAAAGUUUAAUAUGAGUAGAACUAAAAAAUUGUAAUUUAUGUAAACACUACAAUUAAAAAAUUUUCACUAAAGAAAUAUUAAAUGAGUAUUGGAUUGUUAGCAUUGACUUUCUUUUAUUUCAAUAAAAUCUCUUUUGGAUAAGAAUUAAUUGGUGAUAUUUUAUGAGCAAUAUCUUACACGUGAAAAAGACUAAUUCCGAACAUCAAUCUGAAAAAUCUAAAAUGUGUUGGAAGAGGAUGAAAAUGCAUAACAAAGUAAAUAUUUUUAUGAAAAAAAAAUUAUUAAUUAAUUUUUUUUAAUUUUAAAAAAUAUAAUAAAAUAUUUACAACAUUUUAAAAAAUUAUUUAAUUCUUAUAAUUUUAAAAAAAUUUAUUAGUUAAAUUUUUUAUUUUUAAUUUUAAUUUUAGUAUGGAAAAUAUUUUAAAUAUUUUUGUAAUAUUUAAUAUUUAAAAUAAUUGAGUGAUUAAAUAAUAAUUUUUUAAAAAUAUUAUAAAUAUUUUAAUAUAUUUUUAAAAAUUAAUUAACGAAUUUUUGCAGAAACUAAAUUAUAAUUUUUUGAAAAAAGAAAAACAAGAGAAAGAACCUAUCAACAAAGUGUCAUUCAGUAGACCGAAACUUACCUCAUUGUCGC
rnacentral:lncRNA from 1 species